AGAGAUCCAAACAGCAGCGCCGGCGUCGAUUCACGGUGGCGCCGAUUCAUGGAGGAUCUAGGGCUCGAAUCGGAGGGCCGCGAGGGCGGCGCGGGUUCGCUCUUUGCCGACGCUCGCCUGUGAAGGUGAAGGAGCGGCGGCGACCCUAAUUCCACAAAUUCUCUCUCUCCCUUUCUCUCCCUCUCUGUACAUAUUUUAUGUCAGAUCCAUGGUGGCCGGAAAUCAUUUCCCUUCACUGCGUCGACUCAUUUCCC
rnacentral:lncRNA from 1 species